rnacentral:lncRNA from 1 species
CGCAGAUGUAUGAAUAUGAGAUGUUAUGUGAGUAUCUACAGAACCUAAAUUAUCAACCGGCUUUCCAAGCACGUUGAAAAUUUGUCCUAGAGUCGCUCCACCGACUGGAACACUUAGAGGAGGUCUGGUGUCAAUCAUUUUCAUUCCUCUCUUUAGACCAUCUGUAGCACUCAUAGCAUUUUAUAAGUAGUGCUAAUUUCUUUAGUAACCCCCAUCUCAAAAUUAAGCACAUAUUUAGGAGGGCACACAAAUGAUCAAAGAGAUCAUAUUCACGAAGCACUGAGCAAAACUGAAAAUUCCACUUAAUGAAAUUAUCAUCAUUCAACUUGAUUGUUAACAUCCCUAAAAGAUUCUCAAGCUUCACUGACUCAGACAUGAUUACGUAGCAACAAUAUCAAUCAAGAAUCACAACCACAAACCAAGAGGAUGAAAUCGGAAAAAAUCACCGACUUAGGAGAAAAACCCAGAUGUAAAACUCAAAUUUCGCGUCCAAAAUUUCACAAAGAAGAACAAUCAACUAACGAUACUGGAUGAACAACUGGUUAUCGACCUUAAUUCAUCACAGAAAUCAUGUAAAUUGGCAUCAGCCUUCAAGAACGCUUCAAUAGCAUACAAUCUGAAAUGAUCUAAUCAAUCAAGCUGUCUGGGCAUCGGCCUUGAAUUCAGACAAGCUACUACUAUAAUCUUGAACAAAGAAACAAGAUCCGAAACAAAAUUCCCAAUUUACCAGAUGACUGAAGACGAGGAGAGAGACCACCAAACCUCGAAGAACACCAUAGCGGAAAAAAAAUUCACCAAGAACCCAUCACGCAAGCAAAGUGGCUCUGAGAUACCAUAUUAACACUAAGAUCAAUAUUACAGAAAGAAGAAAUGCAGACGAUCAAAAAGAAGAAACUUAAAAUACAAGACAACUUGUAUUUCUCAGAAAAUGCAACAGUACAUUACAAGAGAGGGAAAAUCCCUUUUAUACAUUCUGUUUACAACCGCUUAGCAUAUCCUGUAAACUUCUAAUCACGUGGCACAAGUGUACAUGUCAUCUAUAUCCAAUAGUAUGAUAUGGGUGAUGACUUCUUGAAUGUAGUUGGCGCGCGCUUUGGUUAGGAGAAAGAGUUUUCGAGUUCUUUCUGAUCGAGUGAGGUUGGGUUGGUAGAAGGGUGAUUCGGGGGAAUCGUGGUGGAUUAGCUUAAUGCUCAACCCUUGUUUUGCCAUGGUCACUCUAGGUAGUGAUAAGAGUUGAUGAUAGGAAUAGGAUGUACAGAAAGAGACAAGUGAUUGUGUUAGCCAUAUGGAAAUUCGAAGAAAUUUUAUGUUGAGCAAUCUUUUGCUUGUGAAACUUAAACCCUGAUUAGAUUACUUGUUAAAUAUAUUGAGUGGGCAAAGGCACUUUAAGGUGCUUUAUUAAUAACAAAAUCAGGCUUUAAGGUUGACACACCCCGACCGAGGUCAAGGCAUGAUGGCCGUCACGUGAGAGUGACGUAGCCAUGUGCACAGUGCGGAAGCGAUAAAGAUAGCAAAUAUACGAAUAAUUAAAAACCAAAUUACUAGAGUGCACUACUAAACGAAUAUGAUAGGAGUUAGUUACAACAGUGAACACUCCUAAUCAGAGCAUAAUAAGUCUAGAUGCAGUCCAGUAGGACAAGUACUAGUUACACAGUACCAGGAAUGUCCUACUAUUAUUCAAAUAGGUCAAAACUGCCGACGAUCCCGAGCCACCUACAACAACUUACUUAGAACCUGGAGGGGCACAAAACAGAAAACGUGAGUGGGCAAAAACAAAUGUUUUACAAAAACAUUUCACUAAUCAACAUAUCUAACCCCUCGCUGUAAAACAUGUAUAAUUUUCCCAUAAUCAAGAUGUAAGCAUAUACAUACAUAUAUAUAUAUAUAUAUAUAUGAAAUCAUAUCAAUUCAGUUCAUGUUUCACAUAAUCAUAUUCAUAUGUAUAUAUGCCAUGCCAAGAUAUAAUAGAGUAAAUAAUUCGGGUAAGAAUAAUUUCAUAGAAAUGUGAUAUGUUAGCCGGAACCCCUGUGGUAGUCUGUACGGCUGAAUUCAUAGCUCAAACUCAAUCUAGCCGAAGUCACUACACUACUACAAAAGGCCCCUAUAGUGUCAGUUGUUGCGUCGGUUUAAUAUAAUAUAGUGGCGCACAAGAGAGUUGCGACACCCACUGAAUAUGACGUCGGAUUUAGAAAGCCUGCGUCGCUUUUAAACCGACGUAAACAUUUAAUGUCGCUUAUAAUCGACACACAUUUUAAUAAUUUUAAAUACUGGCGUCGCUUUAAAUAAAACAGUGUCGCUUUUAAGCGACAUAAAGUAUGGGUGUCGCAUAUAGAAGCGACACUAAUUGGUUUUUUUAUAUAUUUUAAAUCCUGCGUCGAUUCUGAGCGACAUAUAUUUUAUUUUUUUAAAUAUUUUGAAACCUGGUGUUGGUUGUAAGUGACAGAUUGAUGGUCUUUAUAUACCCUCCCCCGUGUUUUCUUCUUCUUCUCUUGCAUUUAUCUCAUUCUCACGGUUUACAAACCUUCUGGUGUUCUCUCUCUUUCACCUUCCCGAUUUCUUCCAAGUUCAUUCUUCACAAAGGUAAGUUUUUCUUGCUUGUAGUAUUUUUAUUUUCUCCUCUUAUGUUUAAUUUUUUGAUACAAUUUAUUUUUGUAGGGAAUUUAUUUGAGCUGGUUAAGUACAUAAAGAAUUGAUCGACGACGGAAUUCUUCUAUAAUUCAGGUUUCUAUCACUAAAUUCUUUAAUUUUUAAAUUGUAUAAUACACAAGUUUAUUUAUUUAAAAAUUGUAAUUUAAGUAGUUAGAUAAAUUUCUAUUAUUUUUGUUAAAUUAAUUCAUAUUUAGGUGAAUUAAUUAAUUUUGUCACUUGAAUUGUUAUGAGAAAAUGGAAUGAAUAUUAUUUAUAAGCAUUUAUGUUAAAUUAACAACAUUAAAUAUAACAUAAACUUAUAAUAUUGAGUAAUUUAAGAAUAUAUUAUGUUAAAUUAAUUUUUUUUGCACUCUAAUUGUUUUUUUAAUUUGUUGUUAUUUUGAUAAUUUUUUGUUGUUAUUUACUAGAAUGGAUUAGAUGAGAAUAAUUUGAAUUGUUAUGAGAAAAUGGAAUGAAUAUUAUUUAUAAGCAUUUAUGUUAAAUUAACAAUAUUAAAUAUAACAUAAACUUAUAAUAUUGAGUAAUGUAAGAAUAUAUUAUGUUAAAUUAAUUUUUUUUGCACUCUAAUUGUUAAUUUAAUUUGUUGUUAUUUUGAUAAUUUUUUGUUGUUAUUUACUAGAAUGGAUUAGAUGAGAAUAAUUUGAAUUGUUAUGAGAAAAUGGAAUGAAUAAUAAUUAUAAGCAUUUAUGUUAACAAGGCAUGAUAGCCCGGCUGAAGCCCUCCAGUGUGGGGAGCCCGAGGGACUGGGCAGGCCCGAGCAACAUGCCUAUGAGGAAUCACCAGCCCUCGAGCCCGAGGUGGACCUAACGUAGGGCUAACGUCAGUCUGGCGUCAGUCCCAUUUUUAAAUUUUUUUCUAUCAAGCACGUGGGGGCGCAGCAGCCGACAGAUUUCAGACCCUAGGGACCCGCGAUGCAGUCUGCCUCAGUUACCAUUGGGAAGCCAGGUGGCUUCCCACGGUCCGUUCGAUCUCAACGGCUCUUUAAAAUGGGUCGUCCGAUUUGCAACAGUAAUAAAAAAAAUUAUUUAAUAUCAACCGUUGGAUCUGAGAUCGACGGUUGAUAUUAUUCUGCUUUAUAAAUAAAUAAAUAAAUAAUAGUUUUAAAAUUAAAAAAAGUUACCAUUGUGACAUGUGGCACAAUCUGAAGUGUUGGAAUUCAUUUUUUUUUAAAUCCAACGGCAGAGAUUAAUUAGUUCAAUAAAAAAUUUAAAAAAAAUUGUAAAAAAUCCGAAAAAAAAAUCUGAAUUUUUUUUAAAAAAAUUGUUUUUACUUUUCUAUAAAUACCUUCUCAUUAUCAUCUACCUUACACCACAAUUUCAUAUUUUCUCAACUACUUUCAAUCAAAUUCCUAUCUUUCUCUCAAAGUUUCAAUCCAAUUUUUUUCAACAAAAUGACUACUGAUGCAGAUACGAAUUGGUCGUUUCUUGAAGAUGUUGCGUUGUGUACUAGCUGGAUUGAAGUUACUCAUAGUUCACUUACGGGUAAUGAGAUGCAGUUGUGAGAAAUGUGGAGUCUUAUUCAUACCAAUUAUCUUGAGAAAAUGGGUGGGAAAAGAACCAAAGAAUCAAUGUCCAGUCGUUGGAAAUUACCUAGCCAAUCGUUUAGUAUGUGGAGAGACGCCUUGGCACAAGCUAGUGCUAAUCUUCGAAGUGGGGAAAAUUACACGAAUCAAGUAACAAUAUAUUAUUUAUUUGUUUGUACUAUACCCAAAUUUACAUUAUAAUUAGUUGUUUGUAUUAUUUAUUUGUUACAUACUUUCAUUAUAAUUAUUUGUUUGUAUUAUUAUUUGUUUAUUUGUUACCUACUUUCAUUAUAAUUAUUUAUUUAUUUGUUACCUAUUUAUUUGUAGCAACUUCAAGCACAAGCUUGGUAUGGUGCCAAAACCAAAAGUAAAAAUAAAUCAUUCAACCGGUGGGAAUGUUGGAAUAUUGUCAAAGAUUGUCCUAAAUUCAGAGUUGUGCCUGUCGGUUCAGAAGUUUUCAUGAACAACACCCCUCUACACUCUACACCCGAUCAUGGCUUGCAAGUUCAUGAAGAUGAUGCAGAAGAAGUGCCCGAAACACCCCUCCCUGAACAAGCGUCGGGUUCGACCCGUUAUCCAAUUAGGCCUGAAGGUAAGAAGGCUUCAAAGAGAAAAGGGAGCGCUUCCAAGAAUGACUAUGCAAAAUACAUGGAAGAACUUGCUCGCCAAGGUGAAUUGACUUUGGCACAGGAAAUGGCGAAAUUUGAGGCUGAUAAGGCUAGAGAUGAGGCAAAAGCUGCAGCUAUUGAGAGAGAAUUUCAAGCUAAUCAGAGAGAAAGAGAGCUACUUAGGCAAGAAAGGGAACAGGUUAGAGAAGAACGAAUGGCUUAACGAGAUCGUGAAAUUAUGAACACGCCUUUAGAAGGGAAGUCUCCAAAUUCUAAAUAUUUUCAGAGAAAGCGAACGUGGUACGAAAGAAGCGUGCAAGAGAAGCGAGAGCAAGAGAAGAGGGUCCUAGCACGACAAGAGAAGAUCAUCCUAGCACCAAAAAUUUGUUAAGUGAUGAUGAAUAGAGUAAUUUUUGUAAUCGGAGCCCAUAAUUUUCCAAUCACUUUGGGUUGUAAUUUAUUAUUUAUUGAAUAGAGUACUUUAUGUUGUUGCCAAUUUAUUGAAUUUAGUACUUUAUUUAAAGUGAGAGUAAAUUUAUUUAAUUUGGUAAGUUAUUUAUACUAAGAGAAUAUUUAUUCAAGUGACAAAAACACACCAAAUAAAAUUACAUAAACAUACCAAAUAAUAAAAAACUCAUUAAAAAUCUUAUCCGAAAUUACAAAUAAAAUUAUUUUGUAUUAUUUUAUAAAUAAAAAAAAUAUUAAUAUUUUAUUGCCUAUUGCCAAGAGGGAGGCUCCCACACUGGAGAUGCAAAAGGCAGUUACUGUUUAUUAAGGGCAGUUACUGUUCACUGGGUGGAUUGAAUAGUGAAUUGCCUGGGAGGAGGGCUCCCACGCUGGAACUGCUCUAGAAUCCAAGUGGAACAUUAAUGGUAUGAUCAUACUCUCUUCAUUACAAGCUUCACAUACAUAGGUAGAACACUAAAAAUGGUUAGGUUUUGAGCUAGAAAUUGGCUCUGAAAAUCGGGGGAAAAACCUACAAAACUGCAAGAACUUGCGAGGAAGGUUAGUACUGUUUGUAUUGGCGGCGCGUGAAGCGUGUGUGGUGCUGGUGCGUGCAGCGCAUGCGACAGCGUGUGGAGGAACUUGAGGUCCCUCAUUAGGUUUCUCGACAUGCCGAAUCCAAAUAUGUUGUCCGCUUUUCGAAAUUCGACAAUUUUAAAAUAGUUCUUUUAUUAGCCAUACUUUGUACGAAAACGCAUAAUUACAUUAGUAUGUUAUAUUUACAUACAUGGUUUCGUAUCUAGGUGAAAUGUAUCGCAAGGAUCUUCGAUGCCUGCGAGGUGGGUUCGACCCAACGACAUGAUUUGUGAGUGGGUCUUUUCUUUCAUAUAGUGUGUGUGUGUGUGUGUGUGUGUAUUGGUUAGUUUCCACAUAUAUAUUUAUUAAUGAAUUUUCUACAUGAUUGCCAUAAUUAAAUUAAUGUUUAUAAGAAAUGUCUUAUUAUUGGAAAAUUAUGAAAUAAUCCUACGGGAGCACAUGUAAGCUUACUAUAAGGGGAUGCCUUAAUUAUAUUUAUGGUGAAGAAUAAUAUUAUAUUGACUAGAAUUGUUGAAUUACUGUUGCAUGAUCAUAUUUACAUUAUCUGCUGAUCAUUGCUGCAUUCAGUGGCGGAUCCAGGAAUCUUACCCCAAGGGGUCGCAGUGUAAAAGUUCAAAUAAAAAUUUAGGAUGGAAAAACAUAUUGAAAGUGAAAUCAUAGUACUUUCAUUCAUAAUUCAUAAUGGAAACAAUAUUACAAACUAUAAUUGUCCACGACGAGGUUUCAUAUUUUGAAAACGAAGCAUUAUAGCUUCAUUUUCAAUACAAGCAAAAAUAUCUCUCUCAAUAUAAACAAGCAAGCUAUCUCUCUCAAUAUAAAAGUGGAGUGUAUAUGGUAUUAUAGUAAGAACUAGUAGUUUCAGUGCUGAACACUCAAUAGUAGAUUAACUGCUGAUUAACGUGUUAAUGCAAACUAUAAUUUUGGGUGGUAUAUACUACAAAUAGAAACAGCCAUGAUUUGAUUCUUCAGAAUUCGAUUGUGCAGCAUUAGCUAGAGCAUGAGAGUUUUUGAGUUUUGACCGAUAUAGAUUCAUAAUUGAAAAAUGUAAAUUAAAGAAAAAAUAAAUUACACAUUGGUAUUUACACACCCAAAAGGGUGUUUUUUUUUUGUUUUUUUUGGUUUUUAUUAUUUUAUUAUUUUUGGUAAAUACAACAAACCCAAAGGUUAAGAGAUACAAGCAGUCGAAACUACAUAAAACGAAUGAAAGCAUGAUACAAUCAAACAAGGCAGUCCCAAGACAAGUAUGUGUGCUGCCAAAAAAGAAACUUGGAGAUAGAUGGGGAAAUACAGCAGACCCAGCCCCCUUGAACAUGAGAAAUCUUUUGCCAAUCUUCGUCGAUUUCGCACUAGAUUCCCCUCUUCAAUUGAGGACAAUGCUCUAUUUUAACUUCGAGUGGAUGCAUCCCUUCUGGUAGAGAAACCAAUUUUGGACACUCACUAAGGUGAAGUAUUCUAAGGGAUGUGAAACUUGUCAACCACUCAGGUAAUGCAUCCAAGUUUUCACAAUCCCAAAUACACAAGACUCGUAGGGUGUUAGCAGCUCCCUGCAACCAUUCGGGCAAUGCCACCAUCCUUGGUGCUGCCGCAAUAGAAAAUCUUCGGAGCCUCAAUGGAAUUAGUUGAUAGUUUCCGUUCUCCAAAUCAAGCUGCUCACAAUUCCAUAUCAAUAGAGUGUGUAAUGUAGCAAGAUAACUCAUAUCACGUGGCAAAGAGGUUAGAUUACCACAAUGCCAAAUAGAAAGAUACUGAAGUGAUAUCUUCCUCUUCCUGCCGAGUCUUCGUUCAGGCUUUUUGUCGAACAGUUGGCGUGCGAGUCCGACCCCGACGACCCCAGCUCCAAGAGGUCGCAUAUGGGAGCUUCAAGGUUGUUUCCAUGGUUUCCAAGGGGUCGUGCGACCCCGACGACCCCACUGUGGAUCCGCCACUGGCUGCAUUGGUGUUAGUACUCGCCCGGGGCCAUGGCCAGUCUUUCACGUAUAUGUUCACAUCACACCGUACACUCACUUUAGAUUCAUUGUAGAUGCCAGUCCUGUCCUAGAUUGCUAUAGGCAAUUAGAACUCGUAUAUGAUGCGCAUAGCGCCAGUCUACACGUGAUUGUAGUACUAGAGCAUAAAUCAUUAUUACACCCAAUCAUGUUCAUGUCAGAAUACCUCUGCAUGAACUCGUGUGUUAGCAUAUGUCGAUGAGCACUCGAUAUGAUAUGUUUGUUUAUGUGAGAAUAUAUGAUUACAUAUGUCAUGUGUUUAUUUACAAAAGUUUGUGACGUAUUGCAUUCUUGAGAUACUUCUGGCUAUGGUAAGUAUUUUCAUACUAUACGUAGUAUAUCUAUUUUGGAAACUAUACUUGUUUUACGGUGAGGGGUUAUUAUGUUUCAAAAAGGUUUUUACAAAGCUUUAUUUUUAGGCCCACUCACCCUUGUUUUUUGCUCCUCCAAGUAUUAGUGGCAGAGCUUUCGUGUCGACGAGGAUUUAUGGCAAAAUGUUGUUGUGGGUAUACUAUCGAGGUAUAAUUCCUCUUUUACCUUUACUGUACUUUACUUAUACUCUGACAUCACGUGUGAAAUGGGUUCAUUCCUGCUCACAUGCGCACUCUUACAUUUAGGUACUUUAGGUUUAAAUCUACUCACAUUUUCCACAUCACUACACUUUAUGGCUUUGUUACAUUCUUGGUGCCGGCCAGUACAACUCGAUUCGGAGUCCAGGUGGACACUCCGGGUCGGGAUGUGUCACUUUUCUACACAAUUUUGAAUCCAAAUAAUCGACUACAUACAUUUUCUCAUGCUCAUAUUCUAACAUGCCUUGCUUUGAUUAACUCGAGGUUGUUGUGGAUUUCUUUAGGGAGUGGUGAAGUUGUCAGGGGUGUUGGCUAGUCCGGCAUUGUAGAGGUGGAGUAGACUGGUGGAUAUUUUCAAUAAGUAUGUGUUUGUAACCAUUACGAAAACCCAAUAUGAGUUGUAUGUGUUUUGCAGUCUCGCUUCAGUUGAGUUUUUGUCAUCUUGGAAAAUUAUGCUAUAUGUGAGUUUGGUGGUCUCACUAUAUGUUAGUUUGAUUGUUAUGAGGUCGAUAUAGUAGGUUAAUCAUAAUGAAAACUCAAUAUGAGUUGUAUGUGUUUUGCAGUCUCGCUUAGUUGAGUUUUUUUUGCUAUAUGUGAGUUCGGUGGUCUCACUAUAUUUUAGUUUGAUCGUUGUGAGGUUGAUAUAGUAGGUUCUUCAUCAGAGUAUUGAACAUGAGUUGUUUUGAGUCUGUUGCAUAUCCACUCUUAAAUGGUGCUUUGGAAUCAUGAAGGAAUUAGAGCCACGGUCAUUACUAGAAAAACUACUUAUGAAGACUGUUCACUGGAUACAAAUAUAAAAAUGUCAUAUUAUAUUGUUAAAUAGAAUCACAUUUUUUCUUCAAUAUCUUUUGUAAAUGUAAGAGACACAAGUGUGGUGUCAUAGAUAUUUAACCCAAUAUGUGAGAAAAUUUUCAACAUAUGUGGAUUGUCAUUUGUCUAAAAACUAGUUUUUCGUUUAUACCAUUUUCAUCUUCAUUUUUGUGGGAGUUUUUAAUCGUUACUACUAUUUGGAAAGCACACAAUAAGUUUAGUUUCAAGGAUUGAACAGUUCCUCUACAUUGCCUUUGAAUGUCAAUUAAAUGUUUUGUCAAAAAAAAUUUGGGAUCACUCAUCUUGGUAAGUUUAUUCUUAGAUACUCUUAAGGUUCGGAUAUUUGUAUCAUUUUUUCUUUAGGUAUCCAACUCAUCCCUCGUAAGGUUCACAUUAUUCGUCAUGUGCAUUGGUCUCCACCCUGGUAUCCUUAAUUGACUUGAGCUUGAUAUUAAGGGCUUGGCUAAAAGGAAUCUUGGUCAUUUUGAGCUUGCAAAGCAUCAUACUCCUUUUGCAUGGUUUGUUGCCAAUAAGGAAUUUGAGAAGCAACCCUGAAGUUAGAGGGUUUAGAAGAAUCUGUAAUAUCAGCAACAAAGGUAAAUCCUCCAAAAAAAAUGAGUAUAAUCAUGUAAUUUCAAAGUUUGAACUUGAGGAAAAACUGUUGCAAGUGCAGUGUAAGCCUUUCUAGUGAUGGUUCCAAUUUUAAGCCCUGUUUGAAUACCCUGAAGAACAUCUGCUUGUACUGAAGCAGUGGAUACUGAAGAUGUAGUAAAUGGCAAAACAGCUUCCAAUUGUCUUAAAGAAAGGACAGGCAACACAUAGGGAUUGGAAAGAGUACCUUUAGAACUGGAAGCAACAUCAUCUAGAUUAGGAUCGUGUGCAUGAUUUGGCACAUUAGAGUCUCGGGAAUAAAUGCUAGUAGGUGAUGCAGAUGAAACUAAAUUCCUAGACAAGGAUGCAUCUUGAUUUGUAGGUGAAACCAUCAGAUUAACCACAACAGGUUUCUUAUCAAACAGUUUUCCAAACUCUGAUUGCAUUUUCAAAUUUUUAGUUUUCCAAACUGCAUGGUACCAACAUUUAAGAGGAAGCUUUGCAACAUUCAACAUAGUGAUAGCAUUUUCAACAAUAUGCCUGUGUUUCCUUUCCACCAAGCCAUUUUGUUGAGGUGUAUAAGAACCAGGUAUAAAAUGCAAUAUCCCAUAAGUAGCAAGAUAAUCCUUGAAAGUAUUACUUAAGAAUUCACCAUCACCAUCAGAUUGUAAUACCUUUAUCUUUGUAUUAAACUGAUUGUCCACAUAAGCACAGAAUCUUACAAAAGUACCAAAAACUUCAGAGUUAUUCAUUAAAGGAAAUACCUCUACAAAUCUUGUUGCUUCAUCAACAAAAGACACAUAACAUCUGAAUCCCUCAACUGAUACAACUGGUGAAGGACCCCACACAUCAGUAUGGAUUUUAUGAAAAUGAAUAUCAACCCUAUCUAACUUCCCUGAAAAGGGCAAUUUACUCAUUUUGCCACUAAGACAGUGUGAACAGACAUGAACAUUUACAUCACUAGAGACGGACACAUUAGAAUCCCCGAGCAUAGCUUCCAAAAUCUCAUUUGAAGGAUGGCCAAACCUGUGACGCCAUAAAGAAGUCUUGACAGCUUUUCCCAAGAAUGCAGCAGCAGUAGAAUCACCUUGAGGAAGUAAAGUUGGAAACACAUGUACAGGAAUCCUCAACAACUCAUUUUGGCUACUCUUUCCUUUGUAAAGUAUCACCCAUGUUUCCUUGUCCUGCACAAAGAAUAGGAAAUCAUCACAGAUAAACCAACUAUUGUUAUCUUUGCACAGUUAUUUCACUGAAAGAAGAUUCAUAGUUAACAUUGGAACAUGCAAAAUAUUUCGAAGAUAAGGAGUGAGAGUGAGAUUGUAAUGUGCCAUGACCAUUCUGAACAGUCAGGCCUUCACCACUUCCAACAUCAUGACCAUUCUGAACAGUCAGGCCUUCACCACUUCCAACAAUGAUCUUAUCACCAUUAUAAAGAACAUUAGAAUUUAAGAGUGUGAUAUCAGGGCUCAUAUGAUGAGAAGCACAUGUAUCCACUAUCCAAGACUCACCCUUAGGAGAAGGUUGUGCAGUUAAAGCUGUCAUAGAGGAAGAAACAGGAGACCCUUGAACUCCAGAAAAAUCUGAAACACUUGUAAAGGACUGACCCUGAUGUAGAAAUGAAGAAGCAAUGCUACUAAAAUACUCUUGAGAAGGAGAAAAGCCUUGAAAUCCACCAUUACGAGGAAAGAAAGCAUGAGACAUAGAAUUAGGAUGCACGAACUGAGAAGAAACAUCUUGAGAGGCAUAAUUGGCACUAAGUGAAUCAGGAGGUGGAGCUCCUUAAUAGGCAUAAUUGCCUUGAUGCCUGCAAUCAAUAGCAAUAUGUCCAUUUUUACCACAAAUUUGACAUUUUUGAACCACUUGAGUGUUAUCAGAUCUAUAUAUUUAAGUGACUACAGUAUGGCCUUUCCUCAUGCAAAUUUGACAUUCAGGAACAAUCUUUUUCUAUUAGAUGUGUUGCCAGACCAAAAGUUAGCAUUUUUAGGACCAUUAAACUUGGAUUUAUAACCACUAGAACUCUUGCCUCUAUAUCCAUUAUUAUUACCAAAACAUCAAUUCCCUUGCCCAUUGUAGUUAUUUUGUCCUUGACCACCAAAACUGUUAUGCCCUUGUCCAUUAAACUGAUUUCCAGGAGAUGUAAAACCAAAAAAAGAAGAAUUAUUCUGUGAAAAGACUGGAGCUUGAGAAAACCCCAUAUUAGAUGGUCUAGGAGCAACAAACCCAAAAUCAAAAUUCUGGAGAAAUGAAGCAUAAUUAAGCAACCCUUGAGCUUGGAAAAGAUGCAAAAGCAGUUGACACAACACUAGAUGCAGAUAAACCAGCAUUAGUACAUAGUAGCCAUACUAUGAACAAGAGAUUGCAUCAUAGUUUCAAGAUUCUUCUCUACCCCUAACAAUUGAGUUCGGAAUUCUUUCAAAGUAAUAGGUGUGUCUCUGGCAAGAAUAAAAGUUCAAAUCAUAUCAAAAUCGGCAGGUAAUCCUGUCAAAACUGCUAUAACAACAUCAUUAUCUAUGAUCUUUUCACCAGGUGCAGUAAGUUUGUCUUUAAUAACCUUCAUCCUUAACAAGUAUUUAUCCACAUUAUCACCACCUUUCUGAAUGAUAUGUAACUCUGCCUUUAAGUGAUUAACACUAGCACUAGAAAUAGACAUAUAUCUAUUUUGCAAAGCAGUCCAAACUUCAUGAGAAGUCUUACACCCAACCACAUGCUCAAUAGCAUCAUCACUAAGUGUAGCAAUAAGAAGACUAAGCAAUGGCAUAUCUGUCUUGACCCAAAUGGCCUACUGCUUUAAUUCCUGUUUCAAAAAUAGAUAAUUUUGUAUCUAACUGUAUAAAGGCAAGCGCAGAUGUAUGAAUAGGAGAUGUUAUGCGAGUAUCUACAGGACCUAAAUUAUCAACCGGCUCUCCAAGAACGUUGAAAAUUCGUUCUAGAGUCGCUCCACCGACUGGAACACUUAAAGGAGCUCCAGUGUCAAUCAUUUCCAUUCCUCUCUUUAGACCAUCUGUAGCACUCAUAGCGUUUUAUAAGUAGUGCUAAUUUCUUUAGUAACCCCCAUCUCAAAAUUAAGCACAUAUUUAGGAGGGCACACAAAUUCACCAGUGAAAUGAUCAAAGAGAUCAUAUCCACGAAGCACUGAGCAAAACUGAAAAUUCCACUUAAUGAAAUUAUCAUCAUUCAACUUGAUUGUUAACAUCCCUAAAAGAUUCUCAAGCUUCACUGACUCAGACAUGAUUACGUAGCAACAAUAUCAAUCAAGAAUCACAACCACAAACCAAGAAGAUGAAAUCGGAAAAAAUCACGGACUUAGGAGAAAAACCCAGAUGUAAAACUCAAAUUUCGCGUCCAAAAUUUCACAAAGAAGAACAAUCAACUAACAAUACUGGAUGAACAACUGGUUAUCGACCUUAAUUCAUCACAGAAAUCAUGUGAAUUGGCAUCAGCCUUCAAGAACGCUUCAAUAGCAUACAAUCUGAAAUGAUCUAAUCAAUCAAGCUGUCUGGGCAUCGGCCUUGAAUUCAGACAAGCUACUACUAUAAUCUUGAACAAAGAAACAAGAUCCGAAAAAAAAAUUCCCAAAAUUUACAAUUUACC